rfam:Triticum aestivum genome assembly, contig: Triticum_aestivum_CS42_TGACv1_scaffold_576763_7BL
UUUAUACUCCCUCCAUCACAAAUUUUUUGUCUUAGAUUAGUCUAGAUACAGAUGUAUGCAAUACCAAAACAUGACUUGAUACAUCCGUAUUUAGACAAAUCUAAGACAAGAAUUUUGGGACGGAGGGAGUAUUUC